UUUUAAGUACUAAUAUUUCCCAUGCAAUAUUUGGGACAUACUUAUACUAAAA
rfam:Felis catus isolate Cinnamon breed Abyssinian chromosome B3, whole genome shotgun sequence.